ensembl:lncRNA
UUGGGUCACGUGCUUUUGCUGUUCAACAUGGAGGCACUUAGCAUGAGCUGAGGGUGGGGUUUCCAGCCCUUUGACACCUAAAGGCCAUUCUUCUGGACAGCUGCACAGGCCCAGCCUCAGGGUCCCAGCCAAUCCCCGGGCAGCCUGCCCUGGGAGGAGCUGACUCCAAGUUCCUACCAAACAACUGGGUCGUGUGAAGGCUGUGAAGCCUUUACUGUCCCCGUUACUGACACUCAUGAAACAUAUGGGUUCACUUGGCUGCCACAGACGGAGCUCUAUUUGCAUUUGUUAAAUGAGAUUCUAUGGAAAGACUCCUGAAAUGGAAAGAAAUUCUGGAUGAGCUGCAGUGUUCCUGCCCCAGCUGGCAAGUUUCCACCUCCAGCCCCAAGUCCUUUCUUCCAGAUGAGGCCUCAGAUAUACCAGGCCAGCUGUCUGCAACCUAGGACCACAGGCUAAGUCCAACACACACCUAAUUUUUUUUAAGUAAAGUUUUAUUGGAAUGCAGCCAUCCUCUUUCUUUUACGUAUUAUCUGCAGCUAUUUCAGUGCUCUAAUGGCUGAGGUGAGUUCUUGUGACAGUGACUAUUGGAUUUGCAAAGCCGAGAAUAUUUACUGUUAAUAUUUGGCCCUUUACAGAAAACACUUGCCAAUCCCUAUUGUGGAGUAUAGACAAGCUUACCUGACUGUGCUGUAUCCACACUUCCAACCCACAACAUCUAUGAGCAUAAUAAAUGCUUGUUGGAUACCAG